rnacentral:rRNA from 1 species
AUGAAGCUGGAAUUGCUAGUAAUCACAGGUCAGCAUACUGUGGUGAAUACGUUCCCGGGCCUUGUACACACCGCCCGUCAAGCCAUGGAAGCCGGGAGUGCCUGAAGUGCGUGACCGCAAGGAGCGCCCUAAGGCAAUACCGGUGACUGGGGCUAAGUCGUAACAAGGUAGC